rnacentral:rRNA from 1 species
UACGUAGGGUGCAAGCGUUAAUCGGAAUUACUGGGCGUAAAGCGUGCGCAGGCGGUUAUGUAAGACAGAUGUGAAAUGCCCGGGCUUAACCUGGGAACUGCAUUUGUGACUGCAUGGCUAGAGUUUGGCAGAGGGGGGUAGAAUUCCACGUGUAGCAGUGAAAUGCGUAGAUAUGUGGAGGAACACCGAUGGCGAAGGCAGCCCCCUGGGUCAAGACUGACGCUCAUGCACGAAAGCGUGGG